GAUGAACGCUGGCGGCGUGCCUAAUACAUGCAAGUCGAGCGAACAGACGAGGAGCUUGCUCCUCUUACGUUAGCGGCGGACGGGUGAGUAACACGUGGAUAACCUACCUAUAAGACUGGGAUAACUUCGUGAAACCGGAGCUAAUACCGGAUAAUAUAUUGAACCGCAUUGUUCAAUAGUGAAAGACGGUUUUGCUGUCACUUAUAGAUGGAUCCGCGCCGCAUUAGCUAGUUGGUAAGGUAACGGCUUACCAAGGCAACGAUGCGUAGCCGACCUGAGAGGGUGAUCGGCCACACUGGAACUGAGACACGGUCCAGACUCCUACGGGAGGCAGCAGUAGGGAAUCUUCCGCAAUGGGCGAAAGCCUGACGGAGCAACGCCGCGUGAGUGAUGAAGGUCUUCGGAUCGUAAAACUCUGUUAUUAGGGAAGAACAAAUGUGUAAGUAACUAUGCACGUCUUGACGGUACCUAAUCAGAAAGCCACGGCUAACUACGUG
rnacentral:rRNA from 1 species